rnacentral:lncRNA from 1 species
UGGGUGUGUCUGAGCACUAGUCGGUACCUUCUUACGAAAUAUUAUGCCCGUGGAGCUCAGCAGCAUCAGACGGGGGUGCACUGUGGUGCAGUCGAUGGUAGUCUAGCGACACCUCCUUGUGAUCCAGUAUGUCCAGUGGGGUCCAAUUUUAUUUGAUGCAUCGUGUCGAUUGUCCGUGGUAGGGAUGCGUUGUGGAGUAGUCGGUGG